rnacentral:ncRNA from 1 species
CCCGUACCGUAAACCGACACAGGUGGAUGGGGAGAGAAUCCUAAGGCCGGCGGAAGAAGUAUUGUUAAGGAACUCGGCAAAAUGACCCCGUAACUUCGGGAGAAGGGGUGCCUGCGAGAGCAGGCCGCAGAGAAGAGGCCCAAGCAACUGUUUAGCAAAAACACAGGUCUAUGCAAAACCGAAAGGUGAGGUAUAUGGGCUGACGCCUGCCCGGUGCUGGAAGGUUAAGGGGAGUGGUCAGGAAACGAAGCCACGAACUUAAGCCCCAGUAAACGGCGGCCGUAACUAUAACGGUCCUAAGGUAGCGAAAUUCCUUGUCGGGUAAGUUCCGACCCGCACGAAAGGCGUAAUGAUUUGGGCGCUGUCUCGACAAUACAUCCGGUGAAAUUGAAGUGCCAGUGAAGAUGCUGGCUACCUGCGCCAGGACGGAAAGACCCCAUGGAGCUUUACUCCAGCUUGAUACUGGGACCCGGUAUUGCAUGUACAGGAUAGGUGGGAGGCUA